CAUCCCCUGUAGUGUUCGAGAGUGGCCGGGUAUUUUCUUGAGCCUAAUCGCUGCCCUGGGGGCAUGACCACAAAGCUGUUGCGCAAGUCCGUCACCGAGCGGAAAGCCUGAAGCGGCGUCGAUUGUCCCCACUUGAACCUUCCGGUUCAAGAACAAAGGUCGCAACGGCACCAAUGGGGGAUGU
rnacentral:other from 1 species